rnacentral:rRNA from 1 species
CCUACGGGAGGCAGCAGUGAGGAAUAUUGGUCAAUGGACGCAAGUCUGAACCAGCCAUGCCGCGUGCAGGAAGACGGCUCUAUGAGUUGUAAACUGCUUUUGUACGAGGGUAAACGCAGAUACGCGUAUCUGUCUGCAAGUAUCGAACGAAUAAGGAUCGGCUAACUCCGUGCCAGCAGCCGCGGUAAUACGGAGGAUUCAAGCGUUAACCGGAUUUAUUGGGUUUAAAGGGUGCGUAGGCGGUCGGGUAAGUUAGAGGUGAAAGCCCGAGGCUCAACCUCGGAAUUGCUUCUGAUACUGUUCGGCUAGAGAGUAGUAGCGGUAGGCGGAAUGUAUGGUGUAGCGGUGAAAUGCUUAGAGAUCAUACAGAACACCGAUGGCGAAGGCAGCUUA